AUUGAGUGUAAUGGAGAGGGUGACUGCCUGAGUUGUGAGGACCGAGUAAUCCAUCCCUCGAGAAGAAGACUCGUGAAUGUCCUGUGUGUGCAGAUCAACAGUAUUCUGCUUCUCAAUUAGAAUAAUACACGCCUCUCCCAAGAGCUCCAAUGAUCAGUCUCAAACUCCAAGGUCAGGGGUCAGCCACCACUACCUGGGAUAAUGCUAGUAUCAGUCUCAGCCCAGCUCCUGAUUACUGUCUAAGCUGCCGCAGAGGUUUGUGUUUCCAGAGGUCCCUCAGAAGCUGAUCCUGAUUCAGCCCUUAAAGACUCCUGAAGGCUAAGGGGAUGGUGAGGGUACUGAAAGUGGAGGAGUCCAAACUUGCUGAACUGUGAGAUCUAUCCUCUGCCUUUGACACCGUGAACCAUCAGAUCCUCCUCUCAGGCCUGGGCGUUCUAGGCUCUGCACACUCUUGAAUUGCAUCCUACCUGGCAGGCCACUCCUACCUGGCAGGCCACUCCUACCAAGUGACGUGAUCUGUGCCAACACAAUCCUGUCUGGGAGCUCUACGGACAAUUCUUUCAACCUCAUGGCUUGGUUUUUGCUCUGACAUGCACUGUCAACUGUGAGACGUGUGUGUGUGUGUGUGUGUGUGUGUACACAUUUCCAAAUCAUGUCCAAUCAAUGGAAUUUACCACAGGGGGACUCCAAGUUGAAGAAACAGCUCAAGGAUUAUUAAUGGAGACAGUCUGCACCUGAGCUCAUUUUCAAGUCUCACAGCAAAGGGUUUGAAUACGCGAU
rnacentral:lncRNA from 1 species